UGGUGACGCUGAAUGGAUUUGACAAUGAAGUAGAGUUGCAACAUGAGCAACUCCUGAAGUUAGGCCACCUUUGAACACUGAUAGAGGCAGCAGUAGAGGAAAAAUCCUUGAAGCAGUUAAGAACAAGCCAGAGAAACUCAGCCUGCACCUUGUCUCCUGAAACCACCUCAGCUCUGGAGCACCAAGACACCAACAGAGCCUCAAGUGUCUGAGUCGGAAGGGCAGCUGGGUCAGCAUUGGCAUCCCUCACCUCAGAGCUGCUGAACUGAACACCCUCACACGAGUCUUUUCCUCUGGGAGGUGAUGAAAAAGCAGUGAGCACAGCCCUUGAUGUCCAGACUCCUCAACAGACCUUGGAUCACACUUCACCUUCCAGGCUGGAUGCUCUUGUUGCACGAGGAUUUCCUGAAGGAAUUUCUGGACAAUCUGGGGGUAGGAAAAAGGACGGUGCUGAUUUUGCUGUUACAUCAAAUCACUUGUUGGACUGUAAUUUGUGAAGAUACUGGAUGACAGGUCUUUGUCUGCCUGGCUGUUAAAAAGAAGAGGUUGGCAUUCUAGAGGUAAUAAAGCAAG
rnacentral:lncRNA from 1 species